GACGAACGCUGGCGGCGUGCUUAACACAUGCAAGUCGAACGAUGAAGCCUAGCUUGCUAGGUGGAUUAGUGGCGAACGGGUGAGUAAUACGUGAGUAACCUACCUUUAACUCUGGGAUAAGCCCGGGAAACUGGGUCUAAUACCGGAUACGACCAAUCUCCGCAUGGGGUGUUGGUGGAAAGCGUUAUGUAGUGGUUAUAGAUGGGCUCACGGCCUAUCAGCUUGUUGGUGAGGUAACGGCUCACCAAGGCGACGACGGGUAGCCGGCCUGAGAGGGUGACCGGCUACACUGGGACUGAGACACGGCCCAGACUCCUACGGGAGGCAGCAGUGGGGAAUAUUGCACAAUGGGCGCAAGCCUGAUGCAGCGACGCCGCGUGAGGGAUGACGGCCUUCGGGUUGUAAACCUCUGUUAGCAGGGAAGAAGAGAGAUUGACGGUACCUGCAGAGAAAGCGCCGGCUAACUACGUG
rnacentral:rRNA from 1 species